rnacentral:rRNA from 1 species
UCAGUUCAGCACUAAGUCACUUUGUCUUUAUGGCAAAUGUGAGAUGCAGUGUAUGGAAUGUCAAAUUUCUAGUAUGAGAAAUUAACGAUUUAAGUCCUUCUUAAAUGAGGCCAUUUACCCAUAGAGGGUGCCAGGCCCGUAUAACGUUAAUGAUUACUAGAUGGCAUUUCCAAAGAGUCGUGUUGCUUGAUAGUGCAGCACUAAGUGGGUGGUAAACUCCAUCUAAAACUAAAUAUAACCAUGAGACCGAUAGUAAACAAGUACCGUGAGGGAAAGUUGAAAAGAACUCUGAAUAGAGAGUUAAAUAGUACGUGAAACUGCUUAGAGGUUAAGCCCGAUGAACCUGAAUAUCCAUUAUAGAAAAUUCAUCAUUAUGAUUUUAAUAUUUAUAAUAUUAUAAUAAUGGUGUGCAUUUUUUCUAUAACGGACAUUGUAAUCUAUUAACAUAAAUUAAUUUAUCAUAAGAUCAAUGAUGCGUAAGUUUAUUCAAAUUAUUUUGCUUGCAAUUUAACAUAGAAUAAAUGCUCUUGAUUUGAUAAAGUGUUGAUAGAUUUAUUGUAUAUAGUGCUUAAAUAUUUAUAUUUUAUAAUAGCAUAUUAAUCAUUGAUUUUUAUGUUUAUUAUAUGCACUUAUAUGAUUAACAAUGCGAAAGAUUCAGGAUACCUUCGGGACCCGUCUUGAAACACGGACCAAGGAGUCUAACAUAUUUGCAAGUUAUUGGGUAUCAAAACCUAAUAGCGAAAUUAACAUAACUUUAAUGGGAUUAGUUUUUAGAUUAUUUAUAGUCUAUUAAUUCAAUCCCGGGGCGUUCUAUAUAGUUAUGUAUAAUAAUAUUUAUAUUAUUUAUACCUCUAACUAGAGCGUACCUUGAGCAUAUAUGCUGUGACCCGAAAGAUGGUGAACUAUACUUGAUCAGGUUGAAGUCAGGGGAAACCCUGAUGGAAGACCGAAACAGUUCUGACGUGCAAAUCGAUUGUCAGAAUUGAGUAUA